rnacentral:rRNA from 1 species
CCCUUAGAGUUUGAUCCUGGCUCAGGAUGAACGCUAGCGGCAGGCUUAACACAUGCAAGUCGAGGGGUAUAGGUAGCUUGCUAUCUAGAGACCGGCGCACGGGUGCGUAACGCGUAUGCAAUCUACCUUUUACAAGGGAAUAGCCCAGAGGAAUUUGGAUUAAUGCCCUAUAGUAUAUUUGAAUGGCAUCAUUUGAUUAUUAAAGUCACAACGGUAAAAGAUGAGCAUGCGUCCCAUUAGUUAGUUGGUAAGGUAACGGCUUACCAAGACGAUGAUGGGUAGGGGUCCUGAGAGGGAGAUCCCCCACACUGGUACUGAGACACGGACCAGACUCCUACGGGAGGCAGCAGUGAGGAAUAUUGGUCAAUGGGCGCAAGCCUGAACCAGCCAUGCCGCGUGCAGGAUGAAGCAUCUAUGGUGUGUAAACUGCUUUUGUACGGGAAGAAACCCCGCCUCGUGAGGCGGAUUGACGGUACCGUAAGAAUAAGGACCGGCUAACUCCGUGCCAGCAGCCGCGGUAAUACGGAGGGUCCAAGCGUUAUCCGGAAUCAUUGGGUUUAAAGGGUCCGUAGGCGGCCCGGUAAGUCAGUGGUGAAAUCU